rnacentral:rRNA from 1 species
CUCAACCUAGGAAUUGCAUUCCAAACUGGCGGGCUAGAGUCCGGGAGAGGGAAGUGGAAUUCCCCGUGUAGCGGUGAAAUGCGUAGAUACGGGGAGGAACACCAGUGGCGAAGGCGACUUCCUGGCCCGGCACUGACGCUGAGGUGCGAAAGCGUGGGUAGCGAACGGGAUUAGAUACCCCGGUAGUCCACGCCGUAAACGCUGAGAACUAGGUGUUGGGCGGUCUAACCGCUCAGUGCCGAAGCUAACGCGAUAAGUUCUCCGCCUGGGGAGUACGGCCGCAAGGCUAAAACUCAAAGGAAUUGACGGGGGCCCGCACAAGCGGUGGAGCAUGUGGUUUAAUUCGAUGCAACGCGAAGAACCUUACCGGGGCUUGACAUCAUCCGGAACUGGCUAGAGAUAGUCGGGUGCCCUCGGGAGCCG